GCCAGGUGUGGUGGCACACACCUGUAGUCCUAGCUAUUCAGGAGGCUGAGGUGGGAGGAUCACUUGAGUCUAGGAGUUCUAGGCUGCGAGUGAGCUAUGAUUGCACCACUGCACUCCAGCCUGGACAACAGAGUAAGACCCUGUCUCUA
rnacentral:SRP_RNA from 1 species